GACGUAGGGCGCAAGCGUUGUCCGGAUUUAUUGGGCGUAAAGAGCUCGUAGGCGGCUUGCCACGUCUGCCGUGAAAACCAGCAGCUUAACCGUUGGCUUGCGGUUGAUACGGGUUGGCUGGAGUUCGGUAGGGGAGACUGGAAUUCCUGGUGUAGCGGUGAAAUGCGCAGAUAUCAGGAGGAACACCGGUGGCGAAGGCGGGUCUCUGGGCCAUUACUGACGCUGAGGAGCGAAAGCGUGGGGAGCGAACAGG
rnacentral:rRNA from 1 species